GCACCUGCGCGGUUGCCCUGGCAGCCGGCUGUGCGUGGGUGAAGCUCACAGUGGGCGCAGCCUGACAGGCUGCACUUCGCCCCUUAUGGUCACCCUUUUGCACGCUGGCACACACACACACUCCUUCGCUGUUGGCCACACGCGCAGGCUGGCCUGCUUGGCCAGAAGGGUGAUUCACUGGGGCCUAAGGCCAAUCCCAGGCGACAGAGAUCAGAAGCCAGGAAGCCCUCACAAGACCAGGGACACAAGUGCUCAGAGAGAUCUAGCUCCUGAUUCCCUCUAGGACUAAAAGGUGGGCUGAAAGGAAACACGGAGGUGGUGACUGUAGCCAGCCUGUCCGGAAGGACUUGUCUAAAUUUUGCAAGAAUCUCUUGUGUCUUUUGAUCCAGACCCACGUGGAGAACUCUCGUGAAUCGCCGGUUCAGAGAUGAAGUCACCCUAAUAGAGACACUUGUGGUUAACCUGUCCAACUGCCCUGUAACUGCUUAAGACCUACAGCCCACCUCAGCCCUGAUUCAGACAUCUCCCCUGACGUCUCUAAAUUGGAUAUCAGCUUGAUUGUCCUAGCAGCAUGCCGAAGGGCUGUGUACUCUGCCUGACCACUGUGGAGCCUACCAUGAGCAGCCCAUUUCAGAUGCAGUUUUCGUCUUAGUCUAGAAAGCGUUUUAAAGAAGUAAACAUCAAACAUGGCUUUAGCAGACAAGAGACUUGAGAACUUACAGAUCUACAGAGUUCUUCAGUGUGUUCGCAACAAAGACAAGAAGCAGAUAGAGAAGCUGACCAAGCUUGGAUACCCUGAGCUCAUCAACUUCACUGAACCCAUUGAUGGACUGAGUGCUCUCCACUUAGCCUCCGUCUCCAAUGAUAUUGACAUGGUUAGCUUUCUCCUUGGACUUGGUGCUCAUCCUGAUGUGCAAGACCACAUGGGCUGUACCCCGACCAUGAGAGCUGCGGAGCUGGGCCAUGAACUGUCAAUGGAAAUCUUAGCCAAAGCCAAAGCUGAUAUGACAAUAGUUGAUAAUGAAGGAAAAGGUGUGUUGUUUUAUUGCAUCUUGCCCACGAAGCGGCACUUUCGAUGUUCACAGAUUGCCUUGGAACACGGUGCAGAUGUCAACAAUAUCACCUACGAAGGGAAGCCAGUGUUCCUCAGAGCUUGCGAGGAAGCACACGAUGUGAAGGACAUGUGCCUGACAUUUUUGGAGAAAGGAGCCAAUCCUAAUGCUAUCAACACAUCCACAGGGCGCACGGCUUUGAUGGAGUCAUCAAGAGAAGGGGUUCUGGAACUAGUUCGAGGCAUAUUGGAGAGAGGAGGUGAAGUGAAUACAUUCGACAACGAUAGACACAACGCUGCUCAUUUUGCUGCCAAAGGAGGCUUUUUUGAUAUACUGAAGCUCCUCUUCGCAUACAGUGGAGAAAUGGGGUUAAUAGGAAUGGACGGGAACACACCACUUCAUUUUGCUGCUAUGGGUGGCUUUGCAGAUUGCUGUAAAUAUAUAGCUCAGCGAGGAUGUGACUUGAAAUGGAAAAAUUUGGAACAUAAAACACCCCGAAUGGUGGCGAAAGAUGGAGGCUUCAAAGCUGCUAGCAAGGAAAUUCGUCGAGCAGAGCGGACUGCAGCUAAACUCGCUAAGCCAGGAGUAAAAAAUCCUAACCCACUCUGGGCCCUCAGGCUGCACGACUGGUCCAUAGAGCACGAGUCUUCCCUUCGGGAGGCCUUUAGCUUCGUGGACAGGGGCGAUGGGGUGGUCAGCAAAGAUGACUUCGUGCUGGCCCUGGAGGAGAGGCAAGAGUUUGCCACCCCAGAGCAGUUGCUUUCUGUUGCUCAAAUGCACGAAAAAAGCCGAGGAGGUGGGGUGAACAUUAACGACUUCUUUAAGGGAACCAAAUACUUAAGCAAGUCUUUUGUCUUGGGAUCUUUUGGGCCUAAGAAAAAGAAAAAAGGGUUGGGCAAAAAGCCAAGGAAAGGCAAGUUUGUUUUGCCUCUCCCCAUUUGUACCAUCCCUGAGAAUGCCUUUCCGAGGCGGCCAGAUGGGGGCCCACCUUACUACAUGGUUGAGACCUACCAGAAUGUCACCGACACCAACAGGUUCAACCGGGACCACCCGCCUGAGCACCCCAUCCAGGACGAUUCCGAAUGGUACAUCGAUGAUCCGAAUAGGGUCUUUGCAAAUAUUAAUUUUAUCACCAAAGCAGGAGACCUGGCCUCUCUGAAAAAGGCCUUCGAAGCAGGAAUACCUGUGGAUAUGAAGGACAACACUUACAAGACUCCCCUCAUGACAGCGUGUGCCAGCGGCAACAUUGAUGUGGUCAAGUUUCUUCUCGAAAGGGGGGCAAAUGUUAAUGCAACAGACAAUUUCCUGUGGACUCCACUUCAUUUUGCGUGCCAUGCUGGCCAGCAAGACAUUGUCGAGCUUCUUGUUCAAUCUGGAGCUGUAAUAGAUGCCUCAUCAAUCAACAACUCCACUCCGCUAAGCAGAGCCAUUGAGAGCUGUAGACUGGACACUGUAAAAUACCUACUUGAUAAUGGCGCCAAAUUCCAGACGGAAAACAGAAAAGGACAUGCUGCCAUGGAUAUUGCAAAGGCAUAUGCUGAUUAUAGAAUAAUUGAUAUGAUAAAAGAAAAACUAGAUGAACUGCCCAAACCAACAGAUAAUCAAAAAAUGAAAAGCAAGCUUCCUAAACUGAAGACAGAAGGCACAGAUGUUAAGAAAGAAGAGGGAACACUGUCAUCCAUUUACACUGUGCCAGCAAUAACAGAGGAGAAGAAAAUACACAGGGAUAAUGUGGUUUACCUCAAUUCUCUGAUUACCAGUGGCUUCACUAAGAAAGUGGAUAUCACAUUUAUCCCUAAAAGGAUUUGGAGUCCUGAAGCCACAACAGCACAGCUGAUCAGGAAGAGGGAACUCCGGAGAGAGAGGUUCACAUAUGAGGUGGACUUUGAAGACUUCAUGAUGCCUUUCCAAAAGAACAUCACAGAGAAAGCUCAGGCACUGGAAUCAAUGCUCAAGAAUUAAGUCAGUACAGUAGCCUCCUGGGAGAAGUGCUCUGUGGCCUCAGAGUUUGGAGAAAGUAAGACUUUGAAGAGGAACUGAUACACAAAUCUGAUCCCCCUAGAUUAUAGUGAUUUACCUGAUGAUUUGAAAAACUCCCCUGGUUCUCUAAAACUGAAAGAGUAUUAUGGUCUUUUGUUCCUGAGGCUUCAGUAUCAAGCUCCUGCCGAAGGAAGUGAAAAAUACAACUUUCCUCAUAGGAAUUAAUGAAAUCAACAUAUAAAAUAAAAUGAACGAUAUACAAAGUA